CACUUUCCCCCCAAAUUCUUUGCUUUCUGAGAAGAGUGAUUGGACCGAUCAUAUCCUUCAAGAUGGUAGACACUGAAAUGCGAUGAAGUACAGAUAACUCAGACUGUAGUCUUCGCUUUAAUCCCUCUGUUGCCUGGACCGCCUUUUCAGGUUUUCAAUCCACCGGGAUACCCAUUUUUGCCUAAGCCGCCUUUUCAGGUUUUCGACUUACCGGGUGUACAUAUUAUUUUUUAUUCUUUAUCCCUAACUUUUGC
rnacentral:lncRNA from 1 species